rnacentral:rRNA from 1 species
CCUACGGGAGGCAGCAGUGGGGAAUAUUGGACAAUGGGCGAAAGCCUGAUCCAGCAAUGCCGCGUGAGUGAUGAAGGCCUUCGGGUCGUAAAGCUCUUUUACCAGGGAUGAUAAUGACAGUACCUGGAGAAUAAGCUCCGGCUAACUCCGUGCCAGCAGCCGCGGUAAUACGGAGGGAGCUAGCGUUGUUCGGAAUUACUGGGCGUAAAGAGUACGUAGGCGGUUAUUCAAGUCAGAGGUGAAAGCCCGGGGCUCAACCCCGGAACUGCCUUUGAAACUAGAUAACUAGAGUCUUGGAGAGGUUAGUGGAAUUCCGAGUGUAGAGGUGAAGUUCGUAGAUAUUCGGAAGAACACCAGUGGCGAAGGCGACUAACUGGACAAGUACUGACGCUGAGGUACGAAAGCGUGGGGAGCAAACAGGAUUAGAUACCCUGGUAGUCCACGCCGUAAACGAUGAUAACUAGUUGUUCGGUCACUUGGUGACUGAGUGACGCAGCUAACGCAUUAAGUUAUCCGCCUGGGGAGUACGGUCGCAAGAUUAAAACUCAAAUGAAUUGACGG